rnacentral:lncRNA from 1 species
AACAGUGGAGAGAUCGGAGAGAGGAAUUCAAGAAAAAGGUCAGCCGCUGCGUGAGGAAAUCACAGGAGAUGCUAUGAAAUAUCAAAUAUGAUGUUUGCUACCAAGUUGAACAUUUUCUCUGCACAAGUGCGUGAGAGGAGGUGUGAAUUGGCAAAAGCGUUUGCCCUUGUAGAAUGUCAUUGAUUUUCUCACCCAAAAUAUCUUUAUUUCUUUUUGCUGUUUUUUUUUCUGCUUUUUUGGUUUUUUCUGUUGGUUUCUUCUUCUUCUUCUUUCUUUUUCUUCUCAUCGUCUAGUAAUUGUUAAAACAUGGAACAUCUCUGUAUUCAAUUAUCUGGUACCUUGCUUACCUUUCAUUUGGUUUUGCUUGAUGGAUUGGAUUCGAGCUUCAUGUCGUUUUCAAUUUAUAGUCGACAUUGUGGGACCAUGAUUUUCGCGAAUUUGGCUCCAACAAAUAUCAUCGUUCUGGUUUAACUCGUAUUUCACAAACAAAAUCACUAGGUUCUUGGCCGUUUGCGUGCAUUUCACGUGGACUCACAUGUAUAAAAAUGGUGGAUGUCCAUGCAAAUGGAUGUUCUACUAUGUACGGAUAUGUUGUACUGAAGCUUUUGGCCGAUAAUUAAAUAUUUUGACAAUUGCAAUAAUUAUGGCAACGGUUCAUAUCUUCCAAUCAACAAUUUUGGUUUUUAGUCCUGUCGUUGAAAAUUUAACAGUGUUACUGAGACAUGCUUUCAACUCUUGGAGUAGUAAAAAUUUAGCCUUUUGGCUUGAGGUUCUAAAUCUAAAUCUACUUUGACUUGCUCCAAUCUUCGGGCUAAAUAUGAAUUUUUAGUUCAAAACUCAUUUUUUGGAUCAAAUUUAGAUCAGGAUUUCCUUUUAAGUUAGUGAAUUGACCCACCAUAUAUUUAUAUUUUUUUUAGUUCUAUAUUUAUAAACUCAUUGAAUCUAAUAGCGAAGAUCUUAUAUGAUUAAAUUCAAUGAUAUAAAAAAGAUUAAACGGUCCAAAUUUAAAUCUAAUAACUAAAACAAUUAAAAAAAUAAAAAACCUUUCAUGUGUUCUAUAUUCUUUCAUAGUGUUCUACUAGUUUCAUUGUAUCGAUUUAGUGAUUUUUCAAUAUUUAUCGAAAUUUAAAUAUUUUUAGUUAAAAUAAUUAUAAAAUUAAAUUAGAAUAGUCUACAUAAUUUUUCUUUUAAAAGUUAUUUUAAGAAAAAAAAAUUAUCUCAAAUUCAUUAUUUAAUAAUCUUAGGCUAAUUUUUUUUUACUCAAAUAAAUUUUCUUUAAUAAUCUCGAAUUAGAAUUUUUAGACUCAAAUAAGUUUUCGGGCCAAAUUCAUUCUUUAAAUUAGGACAGUCUAUAUGGAUGGAGGCCUUAGCAAAUAAGUUUUCGGACUCAACUGGGAAAUGACAUACAUGAUGCAUAUAAUGGAAUAGGAUCCCCUCCGGAUCUUUUUUAUGAUGAUCCGGAUGAUCAAUCAAUCGUGUGUUGUUCAUCGUAUAUCGUGCGAUUAGAAAUCAUUUUAAAUUUUAAAAUUUAAAUUAAAUAUAAAUAGUAUCUAACGAAAACUGACCGCAUAAUGAACGAUGAACAUAUACCCGGUAAGCAAGCAAGCUACCAGUUGGAAGUAAACACACGAUUCGUUUAUCUAAAAUUUCGAACAUAAAACUGGGAAAAAAACAUAUUACAGAUUCAUUUAUUCAUGAUUAUCUCAGUAACAGGAUCACUGCUUUUUUGGUGGAUUGACAUAGCUUCCCAACCUCACCACGAUCCCAUCAAGAGAUCUCUUACGUACCCCACUUUCUCUCUUCCGGCUGGCUCACCGGCACCGCCCCAUUCUCCACCGCCCUCUGCUCAAACCCAAUUUAAACAAUAAAAAAGGAAUAAAUAAAAAAUAGGAAGACUUUGGAUGUGGUCGGUAGCUAUAAAUAUUCUUUAACUGAAACAUUGGUUUUCAAUUUUGAUCGAAGGCGUUGAAAUUAAUGUGAUAAUUUAUUUCUAUGUAUAUUACUUUUUUUUAAAUUGAAAAUUAAAAUUUAUAAUUGUUUAUAUUAAUGAGAUUUUAAAUAAAAACCCAUAAUUUGUGGGAUUAAAAAUAUUAAAAUAUAAAUAUACUAUUGUGUGUGUAUAUAAACCUGGGUACAUUCUUCAAAAUUUUAAAAAAAAAAUAUUAGGCUUAAUAACAUUAAUAAAUUUCUUCGUUUAAACUUGACAUGGAUACAUUCUCAAAUCAGAGAAAAAAGAAUGUACCCAUAUAAGUUUAAAAAUGAAUUUUAAAAAAUUUAAAUAGAUUUUAUAUAAAAAAAUGGUACAUUUUACAUAUAACAAAUUUGUAUAUUGAAGAAACAUUACAUUUUAAGAUUAAAAUUUUGAAAAAAUUACGUGGUACAUAUAAGAUUAAAAAAUUGAAAACAUUUUUUUUUAAGCUAAUGGGUACAAACUUAUUCUAAUUUUUACUUUAUUUUGGAAAUAUUUUGAAUUGAAAAUUAGUUAGGAGUUUAAUAAAGGUGUGAGUAUUAAAAUUCUAAAUCAAUUAUUAAUUUUUAUUUUUAAAAAAUUAUGUAACUGACAUUUAAAUUCAUUAUUACAUUAAUGCUAGAGAUUUGGAUCAAAAUCUAAAAACUAAUAUGGUUUAAGUCAAUGAACAUUAUUAACUAGGACCAGAUAAAAAUAUCAAUCCGUAACUCCACGCAUAUUCAGAAAUAACUCAUUAAUAAGUAAAUAACAAAUAAUUGAAACGAGAAAAAAAUGAGUGUGCAAAUUCAUUCCCUAACUAUUUUUGCACCUGUUAUAGCCGUCCAAGCGACGAAUAUUGUAGCCAAAGGCUUUGGAGUAGAAGGCGGUGGAUAGAGCCACGUCCUUCACGUACACCACCGUGUAGGCAAACACUGUGUUCAUCUUCAACGCCGACGCCAUCUUCUGUUUUUUUUUUUUUUUUUUUUUUUUUUUUUUGGUUAUUGAUUGAAUUAACUGGUUCGUUUUGAUGCGUUUGAUUUCAUUAGUUUCAGUUUCAGAUUAACCGACUCUUAGAUGUACGUGGCGAGUUGUGGAGAUUGGAUAUGCGGCACGUGGAGUCUGUGCAUGUUGAACAAAAGGUGCUGUCGCGUGAUCGGUGAUUCUGUGUGAAUGGCGACGAGGGCCAAGAUUUGUUUGUUCCUUGACAUGCAAGGGCUCUUGACGGUAUUACAAGUUACAAAAAUAUGUUUUUGUAUAACAGAACCUUAUGGGGAAAGUGACAACGAUGGUGGUGGGCGCUUACAGUCAUAAUUUGGUGGGGCACACUACAUAUUAAAUAAAUAGAAAGUUAAGGUACUUCAACUAGUAUAACAUAUUAAAUCUCACUAAAUAAACAACUUGCACCAAGUUUAAAUAAGCUAAAAAAGGUUGACGAUAUCAUAUGUUAGUUAGAGCGGAUUAUGCUCGACUAUGUACCUGAGUUUAAGUAAAUAAGAAAAGCUACAACAAACACUACAAAAGAAGUGGAGUGGGAUACUCAAUGGAGAAACAUUAUCCUCAUUAAUUACCUACGCUUUUGAAUUGAAAUAUCGAGAUCUAGUUGUAGAGAAGUUUUUCAAUCUGCGGGAACAUGAUCAGGCACAUUAAGAUACAAUUGGUUGAAUUUUUUUUUUUAAAGUUUUCAACCAAUUGUAUUAUUACACUUAAUACGUGCAGAGUCGUGUUCUCAUCACACAAAAUCUCUUCUAGUUGUACCAUCUUUUUAUAAUACCAAGUCUCAAGGCCUCCUCGCUAGUGAAGCCAUAAGGCAGUCCUACCACAACAUCUUGAAUCAUUGACUUUUUGACACUUGAUAUGCUCGCAUGGUAAACUUGUAACUCAAGUCCUUUGAGUGCAUUCAUCAAUCUAGCAUAAGGGUAGUCUUGAUCCGGACACUGAACUCGAAUCAUGGCUUGAUUUGAUCCCACAAUCUUCACAUCCACUUCCAAAACAUUAGUUCCUCUAACCUUAUCGUUAUUAUUAUUCAAAUUUAAAUUAUCAUUAUUAUUGUUGUGGUUGUUGUUGUUACUAUAAUUAUUACUACAACUUGAACAUUGAUGAUGUUCAUCAGUUAUGGAUCUGGUGCUUUGGCUAGUGAGUAGGGGUUUUUGUGGUGGUUGUGCUUGGAUUUUGGCCUCCAGUUCGUCAACCUUACCUUUGAGCUGGUUCAUGUACGCCACGGCAUCAGCGAGCAAAGAGGACCUGUCCAUUUCCGACACGUUGGGAACAAUAGAACGAAGGAGACAUAUUCGAUGGUUGAGCUUAUCCCUCCUUUGUUUUUCUGCCUCAACAUGGUUCAGUAGUUGUGAUUCUCUACUUGUAGCUCCAUGGUUUGAAGAUGAUGAUCUUCCCCUCUUUUUUGAUUGAGGGUUCUCUGUAUUCGCAGGGGUGAAAUUGCCAAAAGAGUCAUAAGAUGAGCCUGUUGAUGACCCGUCUGUAUGGAUAAUGGGUUCAUUUGCACCACCUUCUGGUAAAAAAAUAAUAAAAUAUUGGUGUUAACAAAAAAAUUAGGGUUUGAAUAAAGAAUCCUGUGAAUGUUUAGGGUUUAAGGUUUCAAGAACAAAGACUUACCACAACCAAAGUAAAUAACAGUAGUAAUAAUAAUGCUUUUAUUUAAAGAUGACAAUCUAAUUUCCUACUGAUAAAUUUUAUCAAUACAGAAAAGAUUAUUCGGUACAAAUAACUAGUUGACCAUAUCAUUGCGAAUAUUCUUCUUAGAUUCUAACCAUGUUGCAUGUCCGACUAUUCAAUUUAUCAACAAAUCGACACUUUAUCAAUUAUAAAAAAUGUCGUUCAUAUCAUUAAUAAACAUCGAUACUUAAAUUACAUAUUGUCGACCAGCUGGCUAGCCUUUGGUACCAAGUAAAAAACCACACUUUUUAAUUUAAUAUAAUUUAAAAGAAUUAUUAUUAACACUCAAAAAUGUCAUCAUGCAUUUACAAAGUUAUAAAAUCACAAAGAAAAAUUUAAUUAAAAAAAAAGUGCAUAAUGACAUAUUUUUAGAGAGGCGCACCCGAAAUCUAUGUAAAUAAUUGGUGGUUAUUACCUUGUAUGGUGAAUUCUUUUUGACCUCCUGAAAGAAAUCCAAUCUUUUCUAGGGGAUCAGGAACUAGUAAUUUAAAUUUGUUGUUCUUCUGGUCGGAUCCAAAGAGUGAUUUUGAUAGGUGCACGAGACCCCAAUCUUGCAUGAUUACAUCCAAAGAAGCCAGUUCAAGUACCCCACAUGAAGUAGUAAUACAAACCAAAGUUUGAAUCCCAUGCAUUCUUGCUUCCUUCACUCUCUCACACUCGUACAACUGAAGCUCAUGGCCACCUGCAAGCCAAACAAAACCACCAGAACAAAAUGCACGUCCCAGAAUAUUUUUACUCGCUUGGCCUGCAGCAAAAGAUUGGGUUAACGAAACGCCGUAAAAGUAAAACCGGUCGGAGUCAUGAGUAGCAUCGCCAGUGCCGUCAUGAUUGUCGGCCAGCAGCCGCAUGUCCAAGUCCACCACGUCUUCAUCUCUCUUGCUAAUUAUCGCCGUCUUCUUUUUCUCCAUAUUGCUGAACCCUAAUUUGGGUUGGUAGUUAUUGGUGAUCACUCUGUUGCUUCUGUUGGAUGGCACGCGAACCCUAGGGUUGUUUAAAUGGCCACCAGCCCAUGAUAACGCAACUUGGUCACUGAUGCUGUCUUUGGAGGCUUGCCAGAAAAUUGCAUAGAGCCAGCAUUCAGGCCUGUUCUGAACUAUGAACUGCACACGACGUUGAAAUGUGGGUGAGGAAGUGGGUGAACAACAAAAGGAUGUAAGUUCUUCCAUUUUUUGAAUAGUUUUUGGACCAACUGAAUCUUUUAUGUAGGCAAAAGCAAGUCAGGUGCGGAAGCAGAAAUUGAGUACGGGAGGUGCGCGCCUCUCAUCGGUCGGGGUUGGGACCUGUGAAUUGUGUGAUUAGUUCCUUAGUUUUUAUUGGUAUUUACAAAGGGCCAGCUCCUAUCAUGUGAAUUGUGUGAUUUGCUUUUAUCAUGUGAAUUGUAUGGUUAGGUUUUAUUGGAGUUUAUAAAGGUUCACCUUCUAUCACGUGGUUGAACUAGAGAUUAUAUUUUUGAGAAAGGAUGGACCCACACACAUCUAUUUUUAUUUUUCACACAUCUCUUUUACUUUUCAAUCAUCAAUUCGAAUGAAUUGAGGAAUAUCAAUAGAAAAAAAUUAACAAAAAUGUGUAUAAAGUAGAAAGGAGUCUGUGAAAUUCACUUGGGUAAUUAAUGUUAGGGAUACUAAAUUUUAUAAAUUAAAUGACAUAAAAGUUGAUUAUUGGAUUAUUACUUAAGUGUUGAUUAACAUAUUUAUUUCUUAUUGUGACACAUCAUUUAGUUUACAGAGCAUCUCUAAUUGAAAUGUCAAAAUUUUAUUUGAAGGCUGAAGUCAGCAUUUUGGAGUGUUAAAUUAUUGUUUUAUUAUAUAUUGGUCCCACUAUAAGAAUAAAUUUUUAGUUGUGACGGUAACACGGAUGGUAUAUCACGUGUUUUCAUGCAAAUAGUGAAAUUUUUUAAUUUUUAAGUUAUUAACCUUUUAACAUACAUAACCCACCAUUUAUAUAAGGACACAUGGUAUACUAAUUCGUGUGAUGGUUACAUUCAAAAAAUCUCUUUGCUACAACCGCUGUUAAGAAAAUAAUAAUAAUAAUUUAAAAUAGAUAAAAGUUGUAACCUAUUUGUGAAUGAUCGGACACCCACAUUAAAUAAUAAAACUGACUCCAUCUUUGUUUGUUGUUAAAAAAGACUGCUAUAAAACAAUGAGCCAAAUGACCUAGUUGCCAUGUCAAUUAUGGCAUCUUCAUUAGAGAAAAGCUGAUGUAUUUUAGUCUUAGUUAGCAAUGACGUAGCCAGAAAUUAUUCUGUGAGUGGAUUAAGCUAAAAUUAUUUCUACGAACUCAAAUUUUUAAUCUUUUGUUGCCUAUAUAAUGUUAUAUAAUAGUAAACUUGAAAGUAAUAAUUUGAAGCAAGAAAUUUAUACUAUGUUUUCUAGGCUUCUAGCCUUCAAAAUUUUUAAGUGAAUAAAAUAAGAAACCAUUUGUGUCAUGGAAGUUUUAAUUUAUUACUAUUUAAAUUAUAAUAUUGGUUAAAGUGAUGAGUUUAUUUAAAAUUUGUUAGCUCUUAUUUUCCUUAAAAGCACCUUAAGAUUCAAAAUUUUCAUUUGCUAAGUGGAAUAUGAUAAUUAAAAAUCGUAAAAUAGCCAAAAAUUAAUAUUUUUAAGCACAAUGAAUGAAAACUCUCGCUAUGCUAUAGGAAAACCUUGUACUUGGCACCGCCAGUGUUGGUGGAUUUGACAUCUCGACGGAGAGAGCCAUUGUUGGUGGUAGAUUAGAAUAGUUUCCACUGCGAUAGUGGUAUUUCAUGCACUUUGAGAAAAUAGUGGUCGAUUAGAGUAGUUUCCGGAAACAAAAACCAUUAGAAAGGUGGUAGUGAUCAAGAGGUCCUCCAAUAUAAUAAUCAUCUACAUAGAUUGUAUGCAUUGUAGGACAUGCUUUUAAAGUUCUAACAUUCUAUUCAGGAUUCUUCUUUUCUACAAACAUUGAAAAUUUUAUUGAAAAUCUUCUCCAAAAACCACUUAUUUGAGCCAAAAUACGUUAAGUUUUUUUACCAUAACUCAUAAACAAUCAGAAAUGUUUUUGCUAUUAUAAGCUGCUUUUAUCAUUUUAAAAGCAAUGUCAAAACUUCUAAAAGCACUUGUAUGAACCCAAAAUGCGACUAUAGAAGUGCCGUAGCCUAGGCCUUGUUUCAGUAGACCGGAUUGGAUAAGAUAAGCCUGAUUAAAUUGGACAUGAUUCAUGUCUGUUUUUUGGUGGGUUUAAAUCCAAAAUUAGUGGGAUUUAAAUCCAACCUUUAGACAUAUACAGGUGCCAAGCCGAUGUAAAUCAGUCCAAUCCAAUACCAAAUCUCGGUCUAAGGUGACUUGUUCUGACUUCGAAAAAUAUUUGUAAAGUGCUUAUGAUUCGUAAAAGUACUUUCUAAUGCUUUAUAGAGGUUACGCUUGAACUGUUAGUAAAAAUGUGAAAAAAAAACUACAACAUAAAAUUGUAAAACAUGUGACAUCGUAAAAUUUCGGUACCUAUUUAUACCAGCUUCCCACAGAUUUUUGUUGUUGUCCAAAGUGAUCGUAUUGAAAAGCCGAACAGGGCCAGCAAGCACAAGAAAGGGUACAACAUGCCCAAAUGAAAAGAAAAGGAGAGAGAGAAGUCGAUACACUCUAGACAACUUGCAACACGUCCAUUUACGCAACACGCCCAGAUGAAUUAAUAAGCAACCAAAAAUUUUUGGUACUCCAAACGUUUUAACUGUUAAAUCUUUAUUUUUGUAUUUUUCAAACAAAAAUUUAACGGCUAAAACAUUUGAAUCCGAAGUACAGACAAUCCUAAGCACCCCCUUCCAUCUUCUCUUUCACCAACAAGAACAGACGCAUAUACCUCCACCACCCAUCUCCCUCCCCUUUCUUCCCAAGGCCAUGGAAACUCUGCUGCCUCCACGCAUCCUCAUUGAAAUUUGAACUCCAUAAACGCCCAAGUUUUUGUCGGCUAAUUCACAAACCGACACUUGUACAUUUAUGUCAAGAACAAGCAUACUGCAAGUUUUAAGAACACCGUUCAAGACAAUACUAUUAAUAUAUAAGUAAGUUUUGAAUAAAUCAAUAUUUACAUGUCUAGUGUUUGAGAAGGUAAAUGAGCAACACAUUACAAUGAUCAAAAGAUUAAAUGCUCAUUAUUCGAAAUAUUUAGAUAGACUAUGAACAUGUUACAGAAUCUAGAUUUUCCUACUUCACUGUUUCUAGCUCAUCUUCAUCUUCAUUAUGUUGAGGUUUACGGUUUCAGCUAGUUCCUACAAAUUUUGAAAAAAAAAAGAGUUGUUAGUGCGGACAUAUAAGUAAAAUUGAGAUAGAGUUCAUUUGUGAUCCUAAAGGUGCAAAUGAAAUUUUUGAUUCCCUCUAUUUUCAUCUGUUCUAUUAGAUGCAAUAAGACUAAAAUGAGUGCAUUCAAACCAACCCAUUUUUCGAACUUCCAUCAUAUAUCAAAUAUAUCUCAGCGAUACUAAUUAGACAGAGUCGGGAAUGUAGAAAUUAAAAUAUCAAAGAAGGUAUAUAAUCAUUACGACGAUGAUGUAAUAAUCUGCUGUGAUUAAUUUGACAAAGAGACUGUUUUUCACUGCUUUAUCAUAUACAAUGUGUGAUAAAAUGAGUGCAUUUAAAUUAGAAAGAGUUGGGUUAGACAUCAUUGGACAAAGAAAAGGUCUUUACAGAAACAAAAAUGAAGAACUGCUUUAUAAUUGGACAAAGAAAGAGGAAGAUAAGAAGAAACAAAGAAAAUGUCUGAAAAUUUUGGCAAAGACAUUUUCAGCAAGUGAAAGAAAAACAGAGGCAUUUCUAAACAGAAAGUUAAUAUCAAUAUGAAGUGAAAAGAAAAUAAUGCAUGAGCAAGGGGAAAAAAAUCAUAGACCUGAGCAGCGAUAUAGAAUUCAUACAAAUGCAAUAUUUUCCUUUCAAAUGAAAACCAGUAGGAAAAUAAAAAACCAAAUGAAAGGGCAUGGCAGAAAAAAUUGAGGGGGAAAAUAGAUUAAAAAAAGUAAUUAAAAAAACAAAGAGGGCGAAUGACGUUGUCCAAUGUACUUAAUUUCUCUUAAGUAUAAAGACAACUGUAUACACUUCUUGACCAAAUGAGAUAACAUCAAAUUCGAAUGAACUAAUAGAGGCAUUAAUCAUAACUUGGGCAUUCAUAGUUAUCAUUCUAAAUUUGAUGACAUACUGUAAAGUAACAGUUUAUUUCCAUUGGAUAAUUUGAUUUCCCAAAUUCAAAAAAAUGAAAAAAUAAAUAAAAAUACUAAACAUUAUUAAACAUCAUCACAACAUCCCGUCAGUCAAGAAUCAAAUCCAAAAGUAGAAUUGGGUAAACAAAUGAGAGAUUAGAAAAAUACCUAAAAAAUGAUGACCUUGAUAGCUAAUGACUCCACAAAUAGAACCCAAAAGAAAAUAGUCAGCCUAACUAAGAGGAAAAUUAUCGAACAAAACAAACAAAAAAAGAGAAUCCAAAAGAAAUUGCAGAAAAAAAAUUCUUAGCAUAAAGAAACCCACUCGGUCAUUUAGUAGAACAAUAUGAAGCAUUGAUUCAAAGAUGCAUCUGUUAGGGUCAUACGAUGUCCUAGAAGAUGGUGAACUGAAGAACCAAAUUGUCUUAUAGCAUGCUUCUCAAUUGUUUUAAAAUGGAUUGGAUUACUAUAUUUUAGCAAUUGGCACUUUAAGAUAAGACAAUUGUAUUUAAAAAUAAAUGAUCAGAUACACACAUUACUGUGUGAAGAAGACUGAGACUUUUGCUAAACACACAUAUUGGUAAAAAAAAUAAACACAAAAUGCUUGUACACGUUAUUUCUUCGUUGUUUCAUUGUAGGUGAGAAUAUUAUGAGAUCAAUAGAUGACAUAAUUAAAGGAACCCAAUUCAACGCUUAAACCUAGCUUAUCACUGCGUUGAAAUGACAAAGAAAAUGCAUAUUAUAUCCAUGCUUUCGAUCAUUCAUUAGAUAGAUGUGUUUGAAUGCCAUUGAUGCCAAUGAUAGAGUUCAUUACUCUGCACAUACAAAUUGUUCAACAAAUUAAAGCAUCUAAGUGCAUUAAAAGAAGAUAUAUCUAUAUCUAAAGAGGAAGGCUUAUCAUGAGCUUCAGGAAUCUGUAAAAGAAAGGUAAGCAUAUGAAUUCCCAAAAUAAAAUUGAAAUCGAAAUUCCUAUAUCUAAAAGAAGUUGAAGAUAAAUUAAGAUUAGGUUAUAAAUUGAAAAUAUAUUAAGAGGAACUCUUCAAAGUGUGACUUCUGCUGCAAUAUUUUGAUAUAAAACAAAACCGCCAUAAUCAGAUUAAUAAGGGUUUUUUUACAUAGUUUCAUGUACUUCAAAAGAUAUAUGAUGUAAAUUAUACUUGAGUAUUAUCACUGUAUAAAAAAAAUACUAGACAGAUAUAUCACAUUUAAGUUUAAGUAUGCUGAUUACGAAAAUACGUUAAAUGGUUCUUCAAAUUAUCAUUGUUUACAUCAAGAAAUUAAUGAUAUAUCCUUUGUUUAUAUAAUAUAUCUUUGUUUAUAUAAUAUAUGUAUCUUUGAUUAUAAAACCAAUAGAACUUUUUACUAUUGAUCUUAACAUUAAUAGAACAGAUAAGAGUUAAUGAAAUAGAGCUAAGCUACUUCACCUCUUCCAUAAGUCCACAUCUCCACCCAAGCCUAGACAUCUCGACAUUGCCCAUAUAGGUGUUCUGUCCUGACUUGCAAGAUUUACAAAGAAUUGGAAAAUUGAAAGAGGUUUAAGCAUGAACAGAUUGUAAACGAAGAACUUUAUAGCACCAAAUUGGGUUGCAAGCAAGCACCAACCAUCAUUAAUAAAAAGUGGGUACACAAAAUUGGCAAGAGAUAAAGUUGUUUCAUGAAACGCAGCUAUGAGCGACGGCGAUCUUCGUUUCCGGCAAGGAAAUGUUACAUGAUCUCAAAUCACCUUCAAUUGGUAAUUAUGUAAAUAAACAGUUACGUGAAAAUUCACAUAUAUAUAUAUAUAUUUUUUUUUUUUUUUGGGAACCAAUUAAGUGCAACAAAAUCAAGAAGUGAGUUGGGAAAAGCAUACCUUUACAAAGCAAAAAUCUUUUGAUAUUCCACGACUUUCUUCUUCUUCUUCCUUUUGAGUAUCUUCUGAUUCAAGGAUGGCAGCGCUGCAGCACUCAUCAAGCACACCUAUUUCAGUAACCCCAAAUCAGUUUAAAUAUUUUUAAUGUUUAAAUACAAAAUUGGGCAUAAUAAAAACUGAACCAAAAGUCUUAAUUGCUUACCCAAGUGAGAAAGGAUUUUGGAAAACGGCGCGAGGCGGCUGCGACGUCCGGACUUGGCCUGAAAUUAGUUAAUUACCCAGAUGAAAAAAGAAAUAAAGAGUGAAUUAGAAGAUUUAUCAGAGAGCUUACCUCUGCAGUUGUUGCCAACUUGAACAAAUCAAGCUUCUGUAGCAGUCUAUAGAUCACAAAGCUGAGAGAUGAGGUCUGCUUGAACUGGUGGCAGCGGUGAUUGAAACUGGAAAAGGAUGUGAAAAUCAUUUCAAUCAUUUUCCACCGCACUUUCCCUGUAUUCCAUCACCAAAAUGUUCAUUUUUAUUGAUUUCAACUAAAAUUUUAAAAUAAAAAUAAAAUUUUAAAAAAUAAAAACUUCAACUGAAAUGUAUAGAUUAUCUUCAAUCAUUUGUGACCAUAUAGAGGUAUUGAAGGAAUGCUACAGAUGAAAGCUCAUAUGCAUUCUAUAAACAACAUAAAUUCACUUGGAAUUUACUGUUAAGCCAAUCUACUAAGAAAUUGGAACUUAUUUUAUAAAGAAGGACGGGAAUCGAUGGACGACAUAAGAAGGAUGGGGUUGGGGGUGCAAGCACAUAGGAGAAAGAUCAAAGGAGGGGAUGGGGUAGGGCCGGUUGAGCAGCCAUUGCAGGCAAGGGGAGGAAGAAGGUAAUUGUUUGGCUGUGAAUUGAAAGUUAAGAGUAUUUGAUAGCUCAUUUGGAAAUCCUUUUAAAAUGGUUGAAAAUAUUUUUGAAACCAAUUCUUGUAGUGAAUCUUGAAAUACACACGAAAUGCUUUCAGAACUCAAAAUAUUUUCUCUAAAGCGCUUUCAAUCAUUUUUAAACACCUCCAAACAAAUGUAAGCUAGUACGGGUUUUGAAAUAGACUUUGAACAACAAAUGUAAUAUUAUUAGACCACAGAGUCAGUGUAAGGUUUUAAAAUAUAGGAGAUAUUUUACCACACAUUGGUAACAGACUAAUCCACUUCUCAUUGCACUCUGGUAUCGUAUGUACUAGUAGCGCACAUUUGGUCCCUAAACUAAGGCCUAGUUUAGCAUUGCUUUUUUUUCACCAAAAACUACUUCACUUUACAGUUAUGCAGUAAAAAAAUAUUUGGUAAAAAUAAAAUAUAUUGCUUAUUUUAAAAGUCAUGACCUCUAGGCAGCAGCUUUUAAAAGCAGCUUGUAGGUUUCUUUUAAAAGCAGCUUGUAGGUUUCUUUUAAAAGCUGCUUUAAUAAAAAGUAGAGUUGAGUCCUUAUAAUAUUUUUUAUUCCUGUAAUAAUCUCAUUAAUUUUAAACAAUAACAUUAUUUAUCCUCCUGGACACUUCUUUUAUAUUGCUUUUCAUACCCACAACAGUUUUAAAAGUACAAUUUAUCAAACAUUCAAAUAUUUUAUUUUAUAACUGAUUAUUCUUAAAAUACAGCAACCCCAAAUUGGUCAUAAAUGUUACGUUAAAACAGAGUUUGUGACUUCAAAAAAUGCAUUCGUGCUCCAACUCUUUCUUCGCUUUCUUUUUAAUGUCACAAAAUCAAUAUACUUGAGUAUUAAUUAAUUAAUACCAAAUGCUGCGUCCCAACGGACAUCAAGCCGGCGCGCGACGGCGCGAGGUUCCUGACCGUUGAUCAGUUUUCAAUUUGACCGCCAAAUCAUCAGUCCGUACACUUUUAAAUCAACGGCACGCGUGUCUAUCAUUGGAUCCGAGUCACGUGCGACGCUCCACCUGCUUCCCUCUCAUUGAUUCGCCCUUGGUCGACCCUCUGUUACCCGAUCAUGACGCCGACGGAACUCCAACUUCCCCAAAAAUCUCCCUACAAAAAUACCUCUGAUUGCUUCCUCCGAAAUCCUCAAUUCCGCCAGAUGCUCCUACCCCUAGCUCCUCCGACUCCAUCGUGUCCGCGCCAAAACUGCAGAUCCCUGAGAUUUUGAGGUGACAACUUUUACUUCGAUUUCGAGCUCCGAUUUCAUGAUUUUUUUCGAUUUAAUUCUGUAUGGGAUGUGAUAACUGCGAUUAGAUUAGCUAUUGUAGAAAUUCACACCGAGUAUUAGUGUUUGGAUGGUCAGAAAAUGAGAGAGAAGGAAAAAUACUGAUUCUCUAUCACUGAAAUUACUGAACUGAUUUCUGAUUUGAGUAAUUCCACCCGGUUUUUGUUCCGAAUUUUCUAAAUACACCCAACCCACCAUCCGAUUGCAGGUGGUUUUCCACCCAAUGGGGGACGCAUCGCGUAGACCAGAGGCCAAUGUAGUUAUGAAUGGAAAGACGAAGUCGCAGAAUCAUAUAGUUGCUUCUCGCCCCAAGGGCUCUCUGCAGGAUGUAGGGUCGCUUCGAAUUGGGAGUGGCGUGGUGAGCCAGGCAGCUUUGUUUCUGCUCAAAAUGGCUGCAUUGGAGACAGUAAGGCGGUUCUCAAGGGCCAAGUGCCCGUGGGCAUGGCGUGGCUUCCAGGCUUUGCAAUUUCUGUGUUACCCUCCGUUCAAGUGGUUUCGAAGAUUUGCGCCCUUCAAGGCUUUGGUCAAUGGCAUGCAGGUUUGGUCAUAUAAAUUCUCAACCUUUGGUAAAUUGUAACCAUAUUUUAGUCAGACUCAUAUGGAUGUAUAUACGUUACUUAUACACUACUCAACUCCCUUCUGACGGGGAACGGAAAGGCAAACAAAAAUAAGAAGCCAGCAAUGGUCUUAUAGGAUUCCCACGUCUUUGCAUUCUUGCUUUUUUGGGUAUUUGGAUGUAAUUUGAUUGCCUAAACUUCUAGACAUGUAUCAAUAUGAGGGAGAUUUGAUGAUGAACUUUUUUUUGCUUACAGGUAGUUUCAAAACCAUUACUAGUGCUUUCCAUUGCAACAGUGUUCUCUGAUGAAGCGGAGUUCUUUAAUAGAACCUCAGAUGGCAUUAACAAUUCUGAUGCAUGUUCAGAAGUGCAGUCGGAAGUAUUGUCUGAGUGCAUUAACGAUUCUACUUUGGAUACAAGGUAUUAAGAGAAAUGAGGUUUUUGUUGUUGGCAUCUGAUGCAUUAUGUGACACACCUCAUCAAUUCAUUUAUAUGAGUAUACUAUAAUAUGACAUUUUCGAUAAUACAAGGUCAAGUUUUCCUCAUAGCAUUUAGUUCCGUAACAUCUUCUAGCUUUUGGUCAGUUGGAUUUGUGGAUAUUAAAAUUGUGUUUUCUGAAAAAAAUUUUGUUUUCUAAAUAAUUUGUCAUCUGAAAUGCCCAAAAGCAAUGGCAGUUGUUCACAUUAUUACUGAUUUGUUUUUAUCAUGAGUUGUCUCUAGGACCUAAUUUUACAGCUUUUAUGUAAUGUGCAGGGUUCCUGAUCAAUUUCCUCAAAAUGUAGAACCUGAAAUGUGGUUGGUAGAACUCCAUGAAGAGCUUGAAAGACAAGGGAUUAGCUUGCCAGAAAGGUGAUUGGAUGAUUUCGUGUAGUCCAACUGUGCAUAUAACACUUACUAAUAUUCAAAUUUAAAAUAUGAUAAUAAUAUUUUUUACUUGUUUUUGUUAUCUUUCUCUUAAUAGUUUGUUAAUAGUCAAACUGUACAUAUGAUGUUUGUUCGCCUCUAAAAUAUUUUUUUGUAUGUCUUUUUACGUAUUUGGCUUUAUGCUUAAAUUAAACGGUGGGGUAGGGUUCAGGUUGGUCGAAGUUAUAAUAUUCAAAAUUUCAAAUUUAAAUAUGAUUAGAAUGUAUUUGCUUGAUUUUAUUAUCUUUCUUUCUUGGAAUAGUUUGUCAAUACUAAAACUGUGCGUAUGACAUUUGUAUGCCUCUAGAAUAUCUUUUUGUAUGUCUUUUUACGUCUGUGGCAUGAUGCUCAAAUUAAACGUCUGGUAUCAUUUCCAUAUUUUUAUGGAUUUAUCUUACUCUUUGUUGUCUUGUAAAUGAGUUGUAUCCACCAGUGUCAGUAUCUUUUGUCCAUUGCAAUGCCUAUCAGAAAAUGUAACUGAAAAAAAAAACUGUUAUAAGUACUUCCAAGUUGAAUUAUCCUCCGCUUCUUGGUAUCCUAUGCUUACUGCUUUGUAAAACACUGAAAGUACAAAGUUUAUAAUGUGAAAUUUAUUACUUUGUGUACUUCCUAUCAUCUAGACAAUAAUAUUGAGACUAUGAGAUAGAGGCUCAGGGCAAAAGGGGUAGAGCAAGACCUAGGAAGACUUUGAAAAAGACUGUAAGAAAAGGUAUGGAGUACUUGGAGCUAACGGAAGACUUGGCACAAAACGGAGCGCAAUAGCGUUCUAGAACUCAUACAGCUGACCCCACUCAGUGGGAUAAGGCUUGGUUGUUGUUGUUUUAAUUUUUAAGGCUUGGUUGUUGGUGCGAUGGCAAGUGCCUUCGCCCAUGAGCGGUAGGUCUCGGGUUCGAGACUUGGGAGCAGCCUCUCCAUAAAUGGGGGUAAGGCUAGCCGACAUUCACCUCUCCCAGACCCUGCGUAAAGCGGGAGCCUUGUGCACUGGGUAUGACCUUUAUUGUGUUAUUGUUUCAUUCCUUUCCCUUGGUGGCAAAACUUUUCCUGCAGCCCUUUGUGAAUGUUGUUUUCAACGUUCCUCUCAAGAAACACCUAACCUUUUUGUACUGUUCUACAAGGUCUCUCCUAAUAUUUUCUUCUACAUGCCUAUAUGUAUGAACUUCUUUGCUUUUUGUUGCAGCGGACCAUGACAUGCUAAUGUUUAUGCAGAAUUGAUGAGGAGGAACUUCGUAGGUUUUACACUGCUGCAAAUGGAGACUUUUCUCGCUUGCUAUCAUCAGUAAAGAAGACAAUCCAUUGGAGGGAGACUUACGGAAUUCUUUCAAUACAGGAGCUUGAGAUGUGGUCAAAUAUGGUUUUCUGGCAUGGAUUUGAUGUUAAGCACCGACCUUGCCUCAUAGUGCGACUUGGGCUAGCUUGCACUAGCUUGCUAUCUCAUGAUAGACCUCGCUUUGCUCAAGCUAUCAGUAUGUUCAUUUGGUCCCUCUGUUACUUUUCUUUGUUUCUAUCCAUACAACCUCUAGACUCUAGAGCCACUCCUAUUUCUGUAAGAUGGAUGUGACCAGAUCUACUACGACUCACUCUUGUUCAACUCUCGGUUUAUUGGAGUCUAUCUUAUUUUUCAAUUAGUUUUUCUUCUCUUUUAAAGGUGAAGCAUCCUACCGAGAAUAAAAAAACUGAAUGCAUACAUAAAUAUCUGUUUCCAUUCAGCCAAUACUAGUAAAUUCCUGCCUUGCCCAUUCUUGUGAAUCGGUGAUUUGCAUUAAGAAAAGGCCUGUUUGUUUGUUCAAUUAGUGAACUGUAAGGCUUGAUUUUUGCAAAUAAGUAGCAUUAUUUACUUUAGCUAGCACUAAAUUAGAAUUUUCUAGUGUUUUGGUCAUGCUUGAUUAGUUAUUUCGGGUUCAUCAAGUGUGCAAUCCUCAAAUUCUUUGGAGACAACGAGGAAGUCAAUUUCUCAAUGUUGAUAUGGUUUAAAUGGUUGUAAGUAGUUUAUUUUCUUUCCUGUCGUGAAGAAUAUAACAUUGUUUUUGCACAUACAGAUUUUUGCAUGCAUUAGAUCACUCUUACAUGAGAUGUUCUGACAGCAAUCAAUGAUUGUAACUGCAGUUUCCCAAGUAGAGCAUGGAGUCUAUCAUUUGCUUGAUGCCACCAAUGCUCAAAUUACAGUUGUAGUAGAUUGUGAAGGUCUAUCUCCAUUGAAAAUUCCCAUGCAAGUUAUGAGGACUUGUUCUUCUCUUUUGCAAGAUCACUUCCCCAACCGUCUUGGCUGUCUGUUUGUUAUUCGGCUUCCUCCAAUGCUUCGUGUUAUUGCUCAAACCUUUAUUCAAGUAAGUCUAUUACACUCUGAUCUAGUCAUGAUUUUAAUAGUUUCAAAUUGGGCACUCAAUUGCAUCAGCAAUGCUUUUUUUCAUAAACAUGCACAUGUGUUGCCUUGUCAGGUUUUGAAACCUUAUACCCGAGAGAAGUUGAGAAUUGAAGGUGAGAGUUACCGGAAGAUUCUCUCUGAGUACCUUGAGGCACUUCCAUUAUAUCUUGGUGGCAAAUGCCAGUGCAAAAUAUGUACAGAUAUGUGGCACCCUCGCACAAAUGAAGUUAUCAAGACAGAGCUGAGAGAAGAUUUGCACGAGGGUCGGAAUCCACUUCCAGCCCAUCCAACUUAUGAGAAUGAGGUUGACAUGGAAGAUAACUGGGAUCAGUUGGUGAGGACUGCCAUAUUUGGUCUCGUUAUGGUAUGGGUUUUCAUAGCAUUCCUUUCUUUAUUCUUUGACCCCGAAAGCCGUCCCUUUCCCUUUUCUCCUAAGUGAGGUAAGACCAAAAGAGUGGACAAGCUUCUUUUUCUCCUCUAUUUUCUUGGCACUUAGUUCUUCUCCAAAGUGUGUAUGCUAUAAGUUUUCCAUGUCAUAUAUUAGUUCUUCUCCAUGUUGGUGUGGAGCUAACGGAAGACUUGGCACAAAAGCGUACAUAAUGACGUUCUAGGAUUCAUAUAACUGAUCCCACUUAGUGAGAUAAGGCUUGGUUGUUGUUUAUCGUUGAGGGUCAACUUGCAUUAAUGUUCUUGUAGUCUUACCUGGAUUUUCACCUCUCCCUAUAUUUUUUUUUCUUGCAUUUUUCGUGCUUGUAGUUUCGUUUAGUUCAAUCCGUCAACUAAGUUGAUUGUUCCAUCCGGUUUUUUGCACGUCUUUGCAUUUGAAAACCCCAAUUUUUAUUUGUUUGUUGUUGCUUAAGACUUGAAGCACAUUGUUUAAGAUUAUAAUCUAUUUUCAGUUUUGAUUCUCAUGCUCAAAACUUUCUUAGGAGAGUUUUAAAAUCAAGUUAGAGUUGUCAUGCAUGUUUUUUUUAUUCAUUUUUAGAUACCCUUGGAAUGUCAUAUGAUGGUCAUUUUAGUGUUUCUUUGCAAAAUUGUACUUCUCUAUUUUCUUCACUACAAAUGAAUGUCUUAAUGAUUUUGAAUUUGUCUAAUUUUUUUGCAAAUAUAAUCUAUAAAUGAUGAAUUAAAAUAUAGACAGUUCAGAUCCUUAAAAAAUAAAAUUACAAAACAAGCCCUACAAAAAUGGGUGUUAAAAUAUGUGUCAAAAAUAGGUCUCCCUGGAUUGUAAUCCAUAGGUUUUUAUGUCGUCGUACAAGUCAUCUAAAAUUGUUGCACACACAAUGAGAAGGAUAAUCAUGAACUAAUAAAAUUAAAAACCGGUGGUGGUAAAGAGCGAAUUACGAGUCUUCCUUUAAACUAAAAACUAAAGGUAUUGGGUUUGAAACAUGUUGCUGGUGUGGAAGUUAGACUUGUGGUUAGGAAGAGGUUGAAAUGUUUUUGUAAGUCUUCUCGACCCCUGAAAGAAGUGGAUAACCGUAGAUCCGUGGCAUGUCAUCAGUUAUCAAAGUUCAACUAUUACAGACUACGGCUUGAAAAUUAUGUGUUACAGUUGGCAAAAGUGAUAAUCCAUCUUUCAAAGAAGAAAAAAUGUGACGUCAGUAAUAUUUGAUUCAUUCAAUCAGCACCACGAAAUAAUACCGUAGUAGAUUUAAUCAUACCUUUCCUUCAAUGAAAAGCAGCUGGUCAGUAGUUAAUGGGUGCUUCUGUGGGAACCCUUCUUUGUACUAUACGAGCACGUCCUUUGUCACCCUCCUCCAACUGCGCUUACGGCUCUACCCCAAUUUAACUUGCUCUGGACCCCGGUCUUUCCCUUUCAUUAAUUCCGUUACCUAAGCCUUGUUUUCUUGUAAGUAUUUUUUAGUAAUAGCAGCAAUUUUAAUAAUUAACAGAUGUCCUCGUUGGCCACAUUCAAGUUUCGACUUUUCUCACUAAAUAAGCCUAUCAAUCCUCAAAAAAUUUUAAGGCAUCAAAUACCUUAUUGUUCCAAGCUUUAAAAUUCCCAAAUUAUGUAUCAUUCGAUGGACUAGUUAGGGUGCCAACGGAAUGAAACUACAAGGUAAAAAAGAAAGUUGGAGUAAACUACAAGGACUAUUAGGGCAAUUUUAGCCUAUUUUUAAGACUAAAGAGUGCAUUUUUUUUCUUGUUUUUGCUUCUUCCCUGUUGAAGUGCUAUUUCUUGUUUAGCACUGAUGUUCUUGAAUCUUGGCUGAAGUGUCGUUGAAUAGGGUUCCGAAAAGAAGCCGAACCAGUACGUAUAAUCAAACUGCGAUUGCAUAAUUUGCAUCCUGUUAAAUGUUGGUGUUUGUUAAUUCAUCGUAAGGAUCCGAUCAGCAGACUAUAUCCCCCUUUGUGAGGGGGCACCCCUUCUCCCGAAGUUAUUGGGCUAUUUUCCCGAGUUCCUUAGAGAGAGUUAACAUACAAAGCAAAGAAUUUACUUGUUACUAAUAUAGCCUAGCCUCUGUUCUUCUUUAGAUUCCUUGUUUCACUCCGAUAGUAUCAUAAAUAGAACUUUAUUUUAUGGAUAAAGGAUCUAAUUGAUAAAAGAAGCACCGUAAAAGAUCAAUUCGCGAGGUUUUGGUCCGAUACAAUAAGAACUGCUUGCUUAUGUCAUGAUAUGAGAUAACAGUUAGGAAUCCACUUAUGUAAUAGAGUUGAUCCCCUAAGGUAUUAAGUAGCGGUAAGAAAGAAGAACUCAUCUUCUUUCUUUUUUUAUUACCUUCCUCGCUUAUGUAUAAGACCGAAUCCAUUUGAUUUCUAAAAAGGAUUACUAAUCCUUUAACUUUUUAAAGAAUCCUUGUGGCUGUGAAUGACUCUCAAAAAGGAUCAGCUCGAUCAUUUCCGUUUAAAGUUAUUUUAGGUGACCGAAUAAACAUGCAUACGCUUGAAAUUGAAGAUGACUUUGUUUAUUCCUUUCCAGUUUCCCAUUGCCAUGCUUGGAAAGUUCUGUUUCUUUCCACUUUUUGCAGCAAACCUUGGGACGACGACCUUUCAGAUCCUGAACAGGUGGGAUGGCUAACGUAGGCAAAAAAGGAACUGAUAAAUACAGAACGCAAAUAUUUUUUGGCAUUAUCUUGAUCAUGACAUUCACCUCUCCCAGACUCUGCAUAAAGUGGGAGCCUUGUGUGUUGAACAAAAAGAGUAUACAAGAUAACUCUAAUUAUUCCAAGAAGAAGAAAUAAAGCACACUCUAAAGAAAGCUCACAAAAAACACUAAUUAGCAAAGCUUUUCUUAUUUAGCACUUAGCUUUGUUUUUCCUUUGGAUGAUUUACAAGGCUUGGGGACUUGGGUAUUUAUAGCAAACCAAAUGAAAGCUACUUAAUUAAACUAAGAUUAUUUACUACCACACAAAACACAUUAAUUGCACCUAAUUAUUUUUUCCACACAACCAUACCUAACAUUGCCUAACAUUGCCUAACUUUGACAUUGACUAACAUUGCCUAACAUUGCCUAACUUUAACAUUGAUUCUUAACAUUGUGCACUGGGUACGACAUUUUUUUAUUAUCUUGAUCGUGACCAUAUGCAUGAUCCUUUAUGCUUUUGGAAAAAGCCAUAUUCAUCUAUUAACUUUGGUAAAUGGCCGAUGACCUUGUGGGUGCAUGUAAUGUUAAAAUUAUCUUCGGUCGUUCACGUGCGCUAAAGUGAUUGUGAGCAUGAAACGCAUUAAGCUUGAGUGACUUGGAUCGAUUAACGGCGCACAGUUACUCAUGUAUACACGAACUUACUGAUGUACAGACGUACAGUAUGUGGGCAACUGCACAUAUAGCAUGCAUGAAUUAGAACAUUUUGCAGCUUCAAUGUGCUUCAUCUCUUUCCGAAAAUUAAUUAGGUCACGCAUGGUGUGCAUAAGAAUCUGCAACUUUGCUUUUUUGUCUAAUAAGCUGUAAUAUUAUAUUUCAUAAGAAUGUAUAUUUUGGUCAGCAUUCCCCGCUUCUCAAACGUGACCCUUGCCGCCUGGGAAGGACGAAAAUUAGGAACCAAUGCUGUUCUGAGUGGAAACUAGGGAAACCCCACUUCGAUUCUAUUUUAAUCUUUGUAUAUAGCCACUGUUUGUUAGCUUUAUUCCUCAGAUUUAGUGCUCUGGUUCUUCAAAUUGCAAGACAAAGGAAUUUUCACUGGAUUUGUGGCUGUGGAUUUUUGCUCAAGCCAAAGCAUAUACUCAGUAUUGAACUUUUGUCCUUCAUUAGGAAAUAUUGCAAAGCCAAAGGGAUGGAAAAAAUCAGUUGAAAGCAGUGAAAGAUUAUAAUUACUUAUUCCUAAGCCUGGAAACUUCUAUCAACAAGAGUUAUUUGAUUCACUGACGGAAUAUGAUCUUAUUAUGUGUUUUUGCAUAACUAUAUAUAUUGGUAAUAUGUAAAAGGCGUCUCCAAAGUGUAACGGGACGCGAAGAUUGCACAUUCAUAUUUGAUGGUUGGAGGGAUAAGAUUAUCAUAUCAUCUUAUCAUUAGUCUGAUAAAAACAAUGUUCAGCAUUCUACUCUAUAGUCACAUGCAAUUUUGAAGCUGGUGCACUCAAGAGAGAAAAGAAGACAAACUCUAACCACACGAGUCGGCUCCAGAAUGUAAUGGGACAUGAAGAUUGUACAUUCACAUUUGACGGUUGGAGGAUAAGAUUAUAACAUUAUAUGUCAUCAUCUAGUGUGAUAGAAAAAGCUUUUAGCAUUUCACGAUCUAUAUAUAUUCACAAGCAACUCUGAAAUUGGUGUACACAAAAAAAAAAAAAAAAAACUCUAAAUCACACGAGUCGGCCUCACAACUUGUGUAAUAGUUGAUAGCCUGUAAAUCUCUAAUUAACACUUUCUCCCUCCCUCAAUCAUCCCACCAACCAAACUUCGGUAGCACCAUCGACAUUACUAGUGAACACCUAAUAUUAGCAUCACAUCAACCCAUUCACCAGAUUGGUAGGUCCCCAUUGGAGCCUUUCGCAUAUGGUUCCUAAUACCAAUUUUGCCUUUCCCCUAACAUAUAACUUCAGUCUCUCCCCAAACCUCAACACCAUCAUACUAUAAAUUAAUCCAUCACCAAAACCCCCACAGACAGCUAGGUACGUAGAAGCUUCUAGCUAGUGCAAAACGAAACGAUAUGCCGACUUUUCUUGACCACACCAACCAAGCCCGAGCCAUGUGGCUAACAUGCCUAGCCUCUGCAUUCCGUACAUGUCUUGCUUGCACCAUAGUUGCGCUAACCACCCUCUAUGGCCCGCAAUCUCUCCGACGCCAAGUAACCUUCCCGGCAUUCUCUUAUGUCACAGUCCUUCUCAUAGCUCCUGAUGCAACUCUAGGGCACACACUUUGUGGCUUUCGGCUCGGGCUCUAUGCCACGGCACAAACCAUUGGCCCGGCCAUGUUGAGUCUGUGGCUGAUUGGGCCGGCCCAGCUUUCGACCAGCACGACCGCUGUGGCGGUGGGUCUUGCGGCAUUCGUGGUGGCUCUGCCGGAGUUUACUCACUUGGUGACCAAACGCAUAGCACUUGGGCAGAUUGUGAUUAUGUAUGUCAUAGCUUGCAUAAAUGGGGGCCAUACAGAUGCUAUCAUGCACCCUGUCCAUGUGGCAGCAAGUACUGGAGUUGGGGUAUUGGCUUGUGUUUUGGCUUUGUUGAUUCCCUUCCCACGCCUUGCUUCUCGAGAGGUACUUUCAAUUUACACACAUACAUGAAGCCAUUAUGCACUCUAAAAUUUAAGAUUUUUUAUUUAAAACUGCGACCCAAUUAAGUGCAGAAUAACAAACUGAAAGUGUAACUGAUCGAGAUUACUUACAUUUUAUUGUGUAAAUUAAAUAUUCAAUGUGUUUGAAUAUAUUUUGCAGGUUAAACAAAACUUAAAGCUACUUGCCAAGAAUGCUUCAGAAAUGCUCAAGAUCUUUGUAAAUGCGUUUUGCGCAGAAGAUAGCACAUCGGCACUUGCAUCAAUUUCUCAAGCAAAUUUCCUGGCUUCCACGGCAACCAAGCUUUUCCAAACUAUCAAAAGCCACCAAGUAAGUAAACUUUAUGCAUUAAUUACAAAAUAACAAUAUAUGCAUGAUGAAUUAAUUAUGUGUACAUAAUUUAUAACAUGAUUCAACAAAACUAUUUGGACCAUGUUCUCGUACUAUAUAUAUCGUGUACAGGGACGAAGCCAGAACUUUGUGUGAAUGGGGGCAUCCUCAAACAACAAAGCCAGAACUUCUGCAGAACCAGGUCGGAGAGCAAAACCAGAUCAGUUCAGUGGGGGCUCUGCUGCUGCAAACCCAGCUCAAUUUGAGCAGCAUCCCAGCGUCAGAAAAAUCUCAGUGGGGGCAUCCGCCCCCCCUAGGCCCAUGGUGGCUCCGUCCUUGAUCGUGUAUUGAUAGGAUUUUUAGGUACCUGCUCAAAGCGGUUAAAAUCACACAAAAUACUUGUAAGAGAAUAAGGUAGUUGUAGUAUAAACGGCUCAAGUAAUGUCAUUUUCCGCAUGGAUUAUUCAAAACAAUUUAUGCAAAACCAAAAUCUUAGUUAAUUAUUAGAAAACAAAAAUAGGAAAAAGUUGAUUUUGGAUUUAAGAAUAAUAAAAACGAAUUUUAAUAAAAGUAAUUUAGGAAAAACAACUAAUAACCAAUUAAGAAGAAAACAAAUAAAAAAGAAAAGGUUUUGAGAAAUAAAUUUGGAAGAGCACUAGGUUCCGUCAUCCCUUUAACAAUUUUAUGUAGAUUUACUCAGUGUUCUAAAAAACGGCCUAGGCAGCGCCUAGGAGCUCCACGGCUGGUUGUCGUUCCGAUUAAGGCCUAAUUGGUAGAAAAAUCGGAUCACCCACUAGCCGGCGUUAGGCGGGACACUAGGCGGGACAAGGCGGCGUUGGGAGGCAGCAGAUCAACUAAGUUUUUGGAGCUGCACCAUUUCAUCUUCUCUGCCAUCUGGGUAAAAAAAGGUUGUGCAGGUCAAAGAGAAGAAGAAGACAAUGAAUAGUAACCUUUUAAAAUAACCUAAGGUUAAACGACGUCGUCGGUUUGUUUUUUUAUGUGGGAAUUUAAUGGGCUUCCGCACACUUUAAUGGGCUUGUCCACCCAAAUACUAAAGUCCAAAAUAAACCUAGUCAAUCUGUUAAUGAGAGUUGUCAAUUAAUUGUUUAUUAUACUACCUAUUAAUUAAAGAACAUUCUUUGUGAAAGAAAAACUAAUGAAAAUGGAAGUAUAGUUUUUUUAUGAGUAAAUAUGUACAUAUUUAUAAUACUAAAUUUACUUAAAUCCGCUUAGCCGCCUAGGACUAGACCCCAAUCCACCGUCCAACUAGCGCCUAACGUUUUUUAGAACCUUUACUUAUGAAUUAUCCAUGCAACUUUGAAGGUUAUGAUUUCCUAAAAUAUAUCCUUUUUGUGGUCAAGCUAUAACGUAUAUCAAACAUGCAAUUUGUCUAUAGCAUUCAGAUCAAAUAUAAACAUGCAUGACUUAUUAUGCUUUGUGAAAACCCUUUGAAAAACCAUGCAACCCCUAAGAUGUGGCAUUCGCCCUAGGUGAAAUUACAAGUAUCAAUCACAAGAAGCAAUACUCAAUCCUCUGGUGGCAUUCCGAUUGAAUUGCAUCCGAUUACUAGUCUAAACAUCCUAAUGGUUGCGAAUCAUUAAGACACAAAGAUAGUUUAAACAUAGUGGUUAAUAAUUCAAAGUAUGCAUGCAUAAUAUCAUAAGCAAUUAAAUAAAAACUAUAUAGUCAUGCUAAGGCUCAAGGCAUCGUCCUAGCAAAAGAAAAUUAGUUUUGCAUAUUCAUAAUUAAAAUCAACAUAAUUGUAUUGAACUAGAAAAAGAUUGAAAACACCUUGUAGAAU